rnacentral:tRNA from 1 species
GGGGAUUUAGCUCAGUGAUAUAAGCGCCUGCCUGGCAAGCAUGAGGUCAUCAAUUCAAUCCCCG